UACGUAGGGGGCAAGCGUUGUCCGGAUUUAUUGGGCGUAAAGAGCGUGUAGGCGGCCAGACAGGUCCGUUGUGAAAACUCGAGGCUCAACCUCGAGAUGUCGAUGGAAACCGUCUGGCUAGAGUCCGGAAGAGGAGUGUGGAAUUCCUGGUGUAGCGGUGAAAUGCGCAGAUAUCGGGAAGAACACCUAUGGCGAAGGCAGCACUCUGGGACGGUACUGACGCUGAGGAGCGAAAGCGUGGGGAGCGAACAGG
rnacentral:rRNA from 1 species